rnacentral:rRNA from 1 species
GAUGAACGCUGGCGGCGUGCCUAAUACAUGCAAGUCGAGCGAACGGACGAGAAGCUUGCUCCUCUGAUGUUAGCGGCGGACGGGUGAGUAACACGUGGAUAACCUACCUAUAAGACUGGGAUAACUUCGGGAAACCGGAGCUAAUACCGGAUAAUAUUUUGAACCGCAUGGUUCAAAAGUGAAAGACGGUUUUGCUGUCACUUAUAGAUGGAUCCGCGCUGCAUUAGCUAGUUGGUAAGGUAACGGCUUACCAAGGCAACGAUGCGUAGCCGACCUGAGAGGGUGAUCGGCCACACUGGAACUGAGACACGGUCCAGACUCCUACGGGAGGCAGCAGUAGGGAAUCUUCCGCAAUGGGCGAAAGCCUGACGGAGCAACGCCGCGUGAGUGAUGAAGGUCUUCGGAUCGUAAAACUCUGUUAUUAGGGAAGAACAUAUGUGUAAGUAACUGUGCACAUCUUGACGGUACCUAAUCAGAAAGCCACGGCUAACUACGUG